GCAACCAAUGGUGACAGCGUGUCAUGAAUUAAGGAUUAUGAUUAAUUCAAUUCUGGGAACCUGGGGUUAGAU
rnacentral:snoRNA from 14 species